ACACUUUAAUGACCCCACCUGAACACUUAAUUGCAGUUCAUGAUACAAACAGUGGGAUUAAAAGCUCCCCUGAGGUAAUUUAUGAAUUUACUAUAAAAGAACAAAAAUAUCGUAAGUAAUUGAGAUAUUUUGACAUAUUAGCAGAAUAAAGAUUUUUAGUGUAACAGCUAAUAAAAAAAUCAAUUGAAAUACCAAAAGUAACAUUAUUUCCUCUAUUACCUGAAGCUAAUUAGUUAUAUCAGGUAGAACAUUCCUAAAAAUGAACUACAGUAUUUCUGAGAACAUUUACCAAACACUGGAAGGGUGUGUGUGUGUGUGUGUGUGCGUGUGUGUGUGUGUGUGUGUGUGUGUGUGUGUGUGUGUGUAUGGUGAGAUGUGUACAGUAGAUCUUCACUUGUUAUCCUUAUAAAGCGGAGGACACACACACACACACACACACACACACACACACGUUCAUAUAUAAAAACACCCAAGCACAAGUUUGCUUUUACAUGGUGAGUGUGUUUGUGUAUGUGUGUGGAAGUGCAUGUGUGUGUGAUUUUUACCGCAGGGGGAAGGAGGAUUAGCACAAAGGCGGUCGUGUAGUGUAUGCGUGAGUGUGUGUAUAUCUGAGUGUGUGCGUGAGUGUGUGUGUGUGUGUGUGUGUGUGUGUGGGAGCAGGCUAACCCUCCCGACUCAACAAGUGGCCUCUCUUACUGUCAGGCGAUCACCACCACCAGCACCACCACCAGCACAACACCUCCGCCACUCCCUCUUGCUCACCACCGCCUGGAGUGAGUCACCACUACGUUCUCGCUGACUCACCCAACCACAUCAACAGCUACCUACCCAACCACGCUCACCACACCUUCACCACACAAGAACUGGACUCUUGAAAAAUAGGAAAAAAAAAACACCUCGAUUGUUCUCUGUUGACCGCCACACACCUUGAAACACUUAAGAAAACAAACACCAGUGCUGUGUGUGUGUGUGUGUGUGUGUGUGUGUGUUUAGUGCCCCGGAAGAUAUAUCAACUGACGGAUCAAAUAACGUCUUUCUUCUUUGUCCAGUGCUUCGUGCGGUCUGAUACCUCCCAGGGUACUUGUCGUGCCCUCCUGGGGGUGUUGAGGUACUCCUGGGGGUGUUGAGAUACUCCUAGGGGUGUUAAGGUACUCCUAGGGGUGUUGAGGUACUCCUAGGGGUGUUGAAGUACCUCUAAAAGACCUCCGAGUACCCGACCCCCCUUCUCUCCCCCCCGAGCUGCCAAGAUGACCUCGGAGAAGGACAUAAACCAGCAAGUGGAGGUAAUGCCCUCGCGCACCCACCGUGGAGGGGCGCCCACUCUGGCCUCGGAACUGGCCCGCUGUUUUACGGAGCUGGUCGCCUCCACACCUAACCAACGCAACUGGAGAGGCAUCCUGAUCGCCCUGCUGGUGAUUGGCUGUGUCUGUGGGCUGAUCAUCUUCUCCGUCGUGUUGCUGACGCCGCCUGACGCUGGCCCGAGGUUCACAGGCAACAGGUUCGCAUUAGCUGACAUUAUCAGCGGUGCGUUCAAGCCGCCGGGGUUCAACGGCAAGUGGAUAUCAGGGACGGAGAUCGUGUUUGGUGACGACAGUGGUGGGGUCAGUCUGCUACACGUCCCUACCCUCAUCGUUACGCCCCUCGUCUCAAACUUCACUUUUCGCCGUCUAAACGUUGAAGAGUUCGAUGUUUCCCCCGAUAAGAGAUACAUCUUAUUGAAACAUGACGUCUUACAGGACUAUGACUACAUCUCUUGCCCAGAUGAGUUCCCCACUCGACACUUCCGCCACUUGGCCAAGUACACGGUGCUACAAAUGGACUCGGAACACGUGGUAUCGGUGACGCCCUUCCCGUCCAAGGAGGGUCACCCGGAGCUCCAACACGUGGUAUGGGUGCCUGGGGCCGCCGCUUCUCUCGUCAUGGUCCACGAGAACGACAUCUACGUUAAAGAGUCGCCAACCUCACCUGUCGUCUCACGCCUCACUACUACAGGAGAACGACACAAGGUCUUUAAUGGCGUCACGGAUUAUCUUUACAGAGAGUACGUGUUACACUCGGUAUCGGCAGUGUGGGCUAGCGAGGAGGGUAACAGAUUGUGUUACGCUUCCUUCAACGACUCAGGUGUACGGGAGGCCAAAAUACCUGUGUAUACCGACAAAUAUGCUACCAUUAAUCAAGUCAGGUACCCCAAGGUAGACACAAACAACCCGGUAGCGACGCUGUGGGUGGUAGAGUUGGGUCAGUCGCCGCCCGCACCCAGAGACCUGAAGCCGCCCACGCGAGUUAGAGACCAGGACUACUACUUCACCGGGGUGUCGUGGGUGGACGCGGACACAGUGGCGGUGGUGUGGAGAAACAGAGCUCAGAACGUGAGUGUGGUCACCGCCUGCACCGAACCCAUGUGGUUCUGUGAAGAGCUCUACGUGGAGGAGAGUGGCCCGAGACGAUGGGCGACGGUGGAAAAAGUUCCUCUCUUCGCUAUGAACGGCACCGCCUUCGUCAGCGUGGCGCCCUUGGUAGAUAGCACGUCGGGAACCUAUCCACACAUCCACCAGGGCAGCACCGGCACCGUUCACACCAUCCCCGUUACCUUCGGCACCUACACCGUGUUCUCCGUCGUCGGCUGGGACACUGAGAACCACCACGUGUACUACGUGGCCAACACAGAGACGGAAGUGGCGGAGCGACACCUGUGGAGAGUGACAGAUGUGACCUCACCUACGCCCCGCCAGCAGGAGUGUCUCACCUGCCACCUUAACUACACCACCCCACCUUGUCGUCACUUCACCCCCUACAUGGGUCCUGACAACUUCUACGAGGUGGUCCUUCAGUGUGAGGGUCCAGGUGUUCCUCAUACGAUGUUAUACUCGAUAGUGGACGAGGAGGUGCUGCUUUACAUACACAACAACACGCACCUGCAGCGCCUCAGUCUGGAGAUGGCUUGGCCGCAGCGUAAAGACUACAGAGUCAAGCUGGAUGGUGGCUUCGUUGCCCAGGUACGUCUGAGCAUCCCGCCGGAGUUCACGGAGGAGGAGGCGUUCAUCUACCCGGUGAUGGUACAGGUGGGCGGUGUACCUGGCGAGCAGCGCGUCAACCAUAAGUGGCAUGUUGACUGGACCACUUACCUCGCCUCUAACAAAUCCUGGGUGGCCAUGGAAGUGGAUGUGAGAGGGGCGUCGAGCCAGGAUCUAGGACUCAUGUACAAGCCGGCCUGGAGACUCGGCGAGGUGGAAGUCACAGACCAUGUGGCUGUGGUCAAAUCACUACUGGAGAAGUUGGAGUUCUUGGACGGGUCACGGGUGGCGGCCUUCGGGUGGGGUCACAGCGGGUACAACACCGCCCGACUACUGGCGCAGGACACUGAUAAAGUGUUCGCCUGCGCCGCCGUUGUCAACCCCAUCACUGACUGGUCCCUCUACUCGUCGUACUACACGGAAAAGUACAUGGGGACGGCGCAGGUGGUCCCAGGCGGUAACUACAGAGGGUAUGAAGAGAGCUCCCUCCUCCUGCGGGCGUCGAGCUUCAAGAACAGGACGCUACUGCUGGUACACGGCUCAGCAGACACGGACGUCCACUACGACCACACCCUCAAGUUCUCUCGGGCGCUUACUAAAAAGGGCAUUAUCUUCAGGCAACAGACCUACACAGACGAGGGCCACGACCUGGAGCGGGUCCAGACGCACCUAUAUAAGACGCUCGAGUCAUACUUGGAGGGGUGUUUCCCCGCCUACAACGAGGAGGAGCUGAGCUUACUCUUCGGCCAAGAUGCUCUCCCAUAGUUGCAGCAUCACCGCAGCAGCAUCGAGGAAAACAACAGCAAAAGCAGCAGCAGCAGCAACAGAAACAGCAGCAGCAGCAGCAGAAACAGCAGCAGCAGCAGCAGCACGGGACAGCACCAUCACAAGCUCAGUCAAAGUAUGUGGCAGAGAGCACUUGUUUGGUACCGUCGACUAGCUCUUCAGGUGGUGGGUCCUUUCUAUAGGAUGCCGUCUUGCUGAGAUAUCUGUCUGGGAGGAUCCUGUAGGACUACUCCGGGAGGACAAGGGCAACAACCUAUAGGACUCGUGGAGGACGGGUGAGAGAGCUCCUUAUGUCCUUUACCAACUCCCAUCUAUCAACCCACCCAAGUCCUACUCUAAUAACGGCUACCGAGUGACCCCCCUCGUGAGAUGUCCUUCUUUCUACUGUCAGCCGCUGGGACAUCAUCACCGUGUUGACAGCUGGGUUGCUGACACACUGCUCCUGAGAUGAACUGCUGUGUAUGUGUCAGCUGUGAGUGUGUUUGUUUCUCGUGAUUCUGAGAUGAGAAAAGAAUCGUGUUUGAGAUCCGGGUCGAGAGCUAUGAGGUGAGGUGUUGCAAGAGGUGAGGUGUUGCAAGACGUGAGAGAUGAGGUGAGGUGUUGCAAGACGUGAGAUGUUGCAAGAGGUGACAUGUUGCAAGACGUGAGAGAUGAGGUGAGGUGUUGCAAGACGUGAGGUGUUGCAAGAGGUGAGAUUUUGCAAGACUAGAGAUGUGUUGAUGACCGUCUUGUUCUCUGAGAUGUGUUAUGUUGACAGUCGUUCUAUGAGACUUUUUGAGAUGGUCGUAUUUAGAAGGUGUGUGUAUGUGUGUGUGUCUGUGUAUAUGUGCGGGUUACGUAAACGACCCUGAGAUCCCUGAGAUGUGCUGUGUUAUUCUGAGAAUCUUUUGAGACGUCGUAUUAAAAGAUGCCAAAUGACGGCCCUGAGAUACUGCCUGUCUGUGUGUGUGUGUCUGUGUGUGUGUGUGUCUGUACAGCGGUCAUGGUCGGAGGCGCUAACAAAGAGACUCUCGAGAGAUAGUAUUAAAGAGACUCUCGCUUGAUGGAGGAGGAUCUCUAUCUCUUUAUCUCUCUCUCAAUAAUAAUAAUAACAAGACGUUCGCCAGGCUAAGACCACAAGUUCCAGCCCUGGCAGAGGCGAGGCUCCCCUGACGUCACAAACACUCCAACGGGAAACUGUCUGUCUUGUUGUUGCUUCGUCGUUCGUGGAGGUUAAGGGCGGAGAUACUAGGAUGUGGUGAAGAGUACCGAGAGUACCUUAAGAGUACCGAGAGUACCUUAAGAGUACC